UACGUAGGUGGCAAGCGCUGUCCGGAUUUACUGGGCGUAAAGGAUGCGUAGGCGGACAUUUAAGUCAGAUGUGAAAUACCCGAGCUUAACUUGGGUGCUGCAUUUGAAACUGGGUGUCUAGAGUGCAGGAGAGGUAAGUGGAAUUCCUAGUGUAGCGGUGAAAUGCGUAGAGAUUAGGAAGAACACCAGUGGCGAAGGCGACUUACUGGACUGUAACUGACGCUGAGGCAUGAAAGCGUGGGGAGCAAACAGG
rnacentral:rRNA from 1 species